UCGCCCAGGCCCCCCACCCGCCUCUCUGUGCCCCCCAUCCUUGCACCCCGCGCUGUCCCCGGCGGUCUGGCCUGGCGUCUGGAGCUCCGGGAGCGCCUGUCCUCCCAGGGCCGAUGCCAGCGCCCGCCCUCCGCGUUCCCGGCAUUGACAGAAUGUCCAGGCGCGCAGGGCCCGUGGGUGGGGCCUGGGCACCCGGCCCUGCCCUCGCGCACCCUCCAGACCCGCCACUUCUUAGAUAGAGAGCGGCCGCCUCCCCGCCCUCCUUUCAGCCACUCGCUCCGCGCAGUCAGCUCUGCUGACUCUUCCGGAGGAUUCUGGAAGGUUCCAGAGGGUGUGCCGCCGAGGCCCUGCGAGAGGGCGUUCCCUGGGGAGAACAUUCCAGAGCAAGGUAACAUCCAUAAACGGAGGCUGAAACGGCCUGAGACGUCCCGGGAGUAACGAAGACCCCAAGGCGGCCCCAACUUGAGGGGGGCGAGAGGUCCAUACAAGCUCUGGGCUCAGCCAGAGCAGGGCAGAGAAGGGUCACAGGAUGAAGAGGACAGAGGGCAGAGAGACGACCGGAUGGGAUGACCAGCUGCAGAGAGGAGUACCCUCUCCACUGAGAACAGCAGAAGGCAAGACAACCUGUCCACAGAGAGGAGCUACCCUCUCUGCUGAGAGCUUCAGAGACCUGCAGAGACAUCUGAAUGACCUGCCUGCAGAGAGCAGCUUCCCUCUCUGGGGCCUCCUCUCUGCUGAAAGCUGAACACUCGAGAGACGACCUGCCUACGAGAGGAGCCACCCACUCCUCUGAGCUGUUCUGACACUAAAUACAACUUUUCUUCUUCACGCUUCACUUGUCUGCGUACCUCAUUCUUCCUAGACGCAGGACAAGAGCUCUGGCAAAGGCGCUGCAGCCACAGAGGUUUCCGGCCGGAAAAAUCGGCACCCCAGAGAUCCCAUGAGAACGUCACGUACAGCACUGAGACGGAGCCCUAAUGAAAACUGUGGCUCUGGGUGAUAAUGACGUUACUGUGGGUUCAUCAACUGUAGCAAAUUCGCCCUCUGCUGGGCGUUGUUGGAAAUGCAGAGGCUCUGGGGGGUCAGGUAUGUGGGAGCUCUCUGUACCUUUCUUGUAAUUUGAUGUGAACUUAAAGCUGCUCCAAAAAGAUAAAAUCUUGAAGAAAAGCGAAAAAAAAAAAAAGGAAGAGAGGAAAAAAUGACAGGCAGAAGGUCACGCCUGGCCCCUCAGUGCGCGUCCUCAGGCCUCUGCUCCCAGCUGGGGCUGGCAGGUGGUCGGGGGGGCACCCAGCUCCUCCACUCCCCACGCCCACCACAGCUUUCAAAGUUAGGAACACAGGCAGGGUGGAGGUGAAGUCCGAACAGAAAGAGGAGACUUAAGGGAGGGCGAGCCCUGACUUUGUUUCGUUUUUCCGAGGCGACAUUCGGUGCAGCUUUCUGGGUCCCCAAGGCUGACCCUGCUGCACCAUGAACCACACGUCCACACCCUCACUGUCUCCCGCUCAUGACAUCAGCUCACCUGAGACUGUCACCGAAGGCUCUUUAACGUGAAAUGAGUGGUUUUAACUAUUUUUAAGUACACAGUUGUGUGGCAUUAAGUGCAUUCACUAUGAUGUGUGGCCAUCACCAUCGUCCACCCUAGAACCCCUUCAUUUUCCCCAACAAAUUCUGUCCCUUUAAGCAAGUGCUCCCCAUCCCCCACCCCCUUCUACCUUCUGUCUCUGUGAAUCUGAUGACCGUCAGUCUCUGAGCACAGCCAUACCAUCGUGGGCCUUUUGUGUCUGGCUUACUUCACCGAGCAUAAUGUCCUCAGGGUUUAUCCGCAUUGUGGCAGGUGCCAGAAUCCCCUUCCUUUUUUAAAGGCUGAAUAAUGCUUUACCGUAUGGAUAGACCACAUUUUGUUUAUGCGUUCAUCCGUUAUCGGACGCUUGGGUUGGACCAUGUUUAGUGGGUGUGAAUAAGGCUGCCCUAAACACGGGUGCACAGGCAUCUGCCCAAGUCCCUGCUCUCAGUUCUUUUUGAGAAAUACCCAAAAGUGAAAUUGCUGGGUCAUAUGGCAGUUCUAUUUUUAAGGUUUUGAGGAGCCGCCACACUGUCUUCCCCAGCGGCUGCCCUGUUUUACAUCCCCUCAAGCAAUGUAAAGGGUCCCGGUGUCCCCACAUCCUCCAGUUUCUCCACAUCCCGAGCACUUGCUGUCUUCUAUUUUUGAUACUUGUUACCCUAAUGGCUGUGAGGUGGCACCUCAUUGUGGUUUUGAUUUGAAUUUCCCUAAUGACCUGUGAUAGUGAGCAUCUUUUCAUGGGUUUAUUGGCCAUUUGUAUGUCUUCUCUGAAGAAAUUGUCUAUUCAAGUCCUUUGACCAUUUUUGAAUCGAGCUGUUUGUUUUUUUGUUGUUGAGUUGUGGGGGUUCUUUAUACAUUACUGAAGGCUUAUUUUUAUGGUCCAAUAAUUCUUUAUAGCACUGGGUGCUCGCUAGCCAGAUGCCGUGAUUAUUUAUGGCCUGGGACUGCGGGUACACAUGUCUCCAUUUGGAGGCUCAGCCAACGUUUCUAGGUCUGUUAACUUGAAUUCAUCUUUUAAAUUGAAAAAAAGAUUUAUUUUCCUCCUUAUAACAGUCAAAUCUCCGCCUUUCGUGUUUCCAGGGCCAAGUACUAUCUGGGGGUAAAAUGUUAAAGCUCAGUGAGAAAUCCCUGGAUACACGGAGGUUACAUUUCAAAGGCCAGACCCCUGGUGAGAGCAGAAUAAUAGUGUCAUAAAUGGCGAUGUUGUAUUGUGCAGUUGAUAAAUUGAGUAAAUAUUUGCUAAAAGCCAGGAAACCCCCACAGCAAUAAGGACAAAUGAUGUUCAUCAAAAUGGCAGCCGUUUACUCAAGAAUUAGGCAGAACCCACGGCGGGAUGGACACUUGGACGUGCUCUCGGGACGGGCUGGCUAGGAAAGCUACAGCUGCAGAUGGAGCUGGGAACCUCGCCCUGCCCUGAAACCCAAGGGAAAAUCAGACUCCGAGGCACCGGUCGCCCUAAACCACCACAGAUGGGGUUUCCACCUUCCUAGGAAUAAGAGUGGAAUAUGCACCUGGGGGUGCAGCUUCGCCUUCCGCACAACAAGGGUCAGCGCCAAUGUUUCCCUGAGAUUCUCAGAGACCCAGAGCGCUGCCACCAGCGGCCUCCUGCCUCCCUGGAGCUCUUACCUCCCGCUCCCUCUCUCCGUCCAGGUGCUUACUUCUGGGAACUAAUCACUCAGUUUGUCUGAUUUUUUACUUUUAAAUCUCUUUCAAACCAUUGGUGCCUUUGCAGCUUCUUGUAGCCACCGUCAGAGCCAGGCAGCAGGGGAGGAGGAGGCUUGGACUGUGGUGCAGAAAACCCCGUCCAGCCUCACUUGCCUUGGGAAGGCUUUGAAAGGAUCAUUUAUACACUGGAGGAUUCCAUGAAGACUUUUUUUGGCCACCCUGAGUGGUUCAAGGUUCACCCUGUCUCUGUGAGGCUCGGCCUUGCCUUCUUUCAUCAAAAGAAAAACAGAAGCCAAGGCUGAGGCCUUGCUGACCGGUCCCUCCCGAGUCCCUUCCUAACUGGAAACGAUGAUUCAGUCCAGAACUCCGCCUGCUCAGUCCCUGCUGUAAACUUCGUGGCUCUCUUUAAGUGCUGCUAGAUGCCAAGCCAGGGAGACAGCCUGUAUCAUCAGUGCAGUCGCCCUGGGGGUGACACCAGGGAUGAUUAUGUAAAUUCUCAUAAAACCCACAGGCAAGUUUUGCUGCGGCCCGGCCUCCGGAGUCCUCCUGGUUGUAAGGGAAAGCACGAACUUGAGCGUGAAGACUCCAAAGCAGAAAAAAAGCAGAGCUCAGGAGGAAGCCUGCAGGGAAGGCCAAACCCUCCUGUGUGUGGAGCGGAGGUCAGGCUGGGGCGGGCGGCCACAGCUCCCCACCCUGGCCGCACCCCAGCCUGCAGAUCUGACAGAUGCAGGCCCCACUGCACCUGACAGUGCCGUGCUCAAAUUGCUCACUCAGCAAUGACAUAUUGGUGACCUGCCGGCAGCAGGCACUGUGGACAACACGUGGGGAGCACUGAGCAGGGCUACCUGCAGACGGCCUGGAAGCUCACCUUGGGCCGACUGGCAGCAGGUCACAUGGCCUCUCUUAAUUAAUCUAAUUUCCCACAAGGCAGCCGGGGGUUAUUCCAGGCAAACCUGAAUUCCUGCGUGGAACCUCAGGUGCCAACACCUGCACAUGUAAGCGGUGUCCAGGCUGCACCCUGGAGCCCAACCCUGGACCCCUUUGGGAUGGUGAGACCCUGGGCCUCACCCUUCUCACCUCUGAGUGAGGCUUCUCCCCUGACCCUGUUCCUUGUACCCCACCCAGAUGUUUUGGUAUUUUUCUGUACCCACAUCUCCACACACACAGUGGCACUUCUCACCAAGGACUUGUAAUCACAGAAAGCGAUGGACAGAGGCAGACGCAGCAAGGGUGAUGGGAGCUGGCGGAGAAGAUGGUCCAGGGUGCAGGGGCACCACAGAGGUUGUGACAUCACCUCAGGGUCCAAGACGUGCUUCCUAGGGGCCCCCUGGCGGUCUCCAGGAUGAGGGGUGGGCAGUGUGGGAGACCCCCAGGCAAAGGAGUGGCAGACAUUGACAGAAAGGAGUGGCAGACAUUGACAGUGGAAGGUCUGCGGGGAUGUGGGGGAGGUGCGCCGGGUGGGGAGGGGCCGCAGGCAAGGCCACAGUGUCCGGAUGGUCCUGUGAAGGAAGGGAGCCCCCAAACACAUUCACGUAGGGCAGUGCUGUGGGCAGAUGCAAAUUUUCAGAGUGUUCGCUGGAGAUGGAGGGGGCCGGACCACCCCCAAGUCUCAGGAGAAGUCACAGGGGAGGAGACUCUGGGACUCUGGGUUCAGGUAAAUACUUCGGGUUUGGCGUUGAUGCUCCUUUUGGGCAAUCUGUAGACUGAGUGACACCUGUCUCCCUGUCCACUCCCCUCCUACCCUUGUGAUUAUCCAUCAGUAUUUAUGGGCCUGGCUGGUCAGACCAAGCAGGCCACAGCACAGCAUGGAGCUCUAGGCCUCUGUGCGUCUCUGGUGUUUGGAUCCUAGGACCUGAAGGUCCAGGGGAGAAGUCGUCUGGGGGGUUGGGAGGCUCAGGGAAGAGGCUGCUUCCUGCUGUGGACUUGAUUAGCAGCCCCAUGGACAGUCACUGGACUGUUAGCGAGGCAGGAGUCCAGAGGAGCCAGGGUGACACCAUUUUAAAAUCAGCACCGUCUUAAACUAGCAAGGCACACUCCUUGCCACACACAAGCCAUGGUCCUAAGAUGUUUACAGCUAAGGAAGCAGCUUGGUGAUGCCUGCAAAGCAAACUCCAAGAACAGAAAGUCCAGACGUCCAAUACCCAUAAUUAGGUCUAUGCUUUCAAGAUAGUAAGAGUCAUGCUAUGAUGACUGACACACUAAAAUGUCAAGGAUGGUUUUCUUUAAACCAAUAGAAUGAUAAACCUUGUCAUGCUCUCUGCUCAGCUGCACAUAUGCACAGCUUCACUUCGCUUUGCAGACAAGACUUCUGUGUAAGAAAAAUGGAAAAAGAAGUUGGUGUGUCCUCUGCUUGCUUUCUGCUCUGUAACAGAGUCAUUUCUAAUAAACGUGCCUCUUUCACUGUGCUCUGUGACUGGCCUUGAAUUCCCUCUUGUGUGAGAUCUGAGAAGCCUCUCUUGGGGUAGAGACCCCCUCUUCCAGGAACAGGACCACCUCUCACUUCCCCUAGACCCAAAGGGUGACCAAGAGACUGGCUCCAGGGCUUGUGUGGGAAAGUCUUCUGUUCGAGUGAGCCUGGGAGUAAACACUCCUGCUCGAGUGGGAAAGUCUUCUGUUCGAGUGAGCCUGGGAGUAAACACUCCUGCUCGAGUGGGAAAGUCUUCUGUUCGAGUGAGCCUGGGAGUAAACACUCCUGCUCGAGUGGGAAAGUCUUCUGUUCGAGUGAGCCUGGGAGUAAACACUCCUGCUCGAGUGGGAAAGUCUUCUGUUCGAGUGAGCCUGGGAGUAAACACUCCUGCUCGAGUGGGAAAGUCUUCUGUUCGAGUGAGCCUGGGAGUAAACACUCCUGCUCGAGUGGGAAAGUCUUCUGUUCGAGUGAGCCUGGGAGUGAACACUCCUGCUCGAGUGGGAAAGUCUUCUGUUCGAGUGAGCCUGGGAGUAAACACUCCUGCUCGAGUGGGAAGGUCUUCUGUUCGAGUGAUCCUGGGAGUAAACACUCCUGCUCGAGUGGGAAGGUCUUCUGUUUGAGUGAGCCUGGGAGUAAACACUCCUGCUCGAGUGGCUAGCUCAUGGGUUUCUGCAAGGAACGUCUUUGAAAUAUUUGGUAGAUCUAAGGCUGAAUACAGACCAUUCACCAAAACGCUUUCCAAAACCAUCUACUCCAGAUUUUGUGAAUAAAUUUAAAAUGCUGUUGCGGAGUCCUGACCACAGAAUAUUGUUUUAGAAGCGAGUUUUGAGCUUUGGUCUGAUGUGCUGAUUUUUCCAGCAAGGACACGGAAGCCACAUUUGUGAUGAACUCUGAGCCAUGCCCACCCCUCUGGGGCCAGGCCAGCCUGAAGCCAUCUCACUGGCUCUCCAGCUGCCAGAAAUGGAGGCUAGCUUCUGAUACCAAAGUUCCACACCAGGAUAUCAACAGCAGCCCUGCUUACACUAGUGAAAAAUUAGACAGGAUCUAAGUGUCCCACACUGAGGAAAGAGAUGAACUCCAGCACGAGUGUAUUAUUCUGUUUUCAUGCUGCCAAUAAAGACAUACCUGAGACUGGGU
rnacentral:lncRNA from 1 species